UACACGUGCCGACGGUGCCGUAUCCUACCGCGUUGCCCAGCAGCUCCUAGCCGCGCCCGGACAUGCCGCGGUACGUGUGAGCCUGUCCGAUGCCAAGUAUGCCACCGAGUUUUACCAACAAGGUGCCGAAAUU
rnacentral:ribozyme from 1 species